rnacentral:rRNA from 1 species
CCAAUAGCGUAUAUUAAAGUUGUUGCAGUUAAGAAGCUCGUAGUUGAAUUUCGGGGUUAGUAGGUUGGUCAUGCCUCUGGUAUGUACUGGUCUCACUGAUUCCUCCUUCCUGAUGAAUCUUAAUGCCAUUAAUUUGGUGUUUUGGGGAAUUUGGACUGUUACUUUGAAAAAAUUAGAGUGUUUAAAGCAAGCUAACGCUUGAAUACAUUAGCAUGGAAUAAUGAAAUAGGACGUUCGAUCCUAUUUUGUUGGUUUCUAGGAUUGACGUAAUGAUUAAUAGGGAUAGUUGGGGGCAUUAGUAUUCAAUUGUCAGAGGUGAAAUUCUUGGAUUUAUUGAAGACUAACUACUGCGAAAGCAUUUGCCAAGGAUGUUUUCAUUAAUCAAGAACGAAAGUUAGGGGAUCGAAGACGAUCAGAUACCGUCGUAGUCUUAACCAUAAACUAUGCCGACUAGGGAUCGGAUGAUGUUAAUUUUUUAAUGACUCAUUCGGCGCCUUACG